rnacentral:rRNA from 1 species
AACGAACGCUGGCGGCAGGCCUAACACAUGCAAGUCGAACGCCGUAGCAAUACGGAGUGGCAGACGGGUGAGUAACGCGUGGGAACCUUCCCUAUGGUUCGGAAUAGCUCAGGGAAACCUGGGGUAAUACCGGAUAAGCCCUUCGGGGGAAAGAUUUAUCGCCAUUGGAUGGGCCCGCGUCGGAUUAGCUAGUUGGUGGGGUAACGGCCUACCAAGGCGACGAUCCGUAGCUGGUCUGAGAGGAUGAUCAGCCACACUGGGACUGAGACACGGCCCAGACUCCUACGGGAGGCAGCAGUGGGGAAUAUUGGACAAUGGGCGAAAGCCUGAUCCAGCCAAGCCGCGUGAGUGACGAAGGCCUUAGGGUUGUAAAGCUCUUUUGCCGGGGAAGAUAAUGACGGUACCCGGAGAAUAAGUCCCGGCUAACCUCGUGCCAGCAGCCGCCGUAA